GGCUCUACUCAGCAGCUUUCUGAGACAGAUUCAGAUACACACAGCCAACCAUGGAAAGGAGGUUGGGGACCCCUAUGCAAAAGAAUGACCUCCUUUCUGCUUCUCAUCAGAAAAGAACAGUCUUCUAAGAUAUAACAACGAAACUUAACAAAAUAAAAUAUAAUAGAUGAAGUAAAAA